CAGCAGCCGCCGCGGUAAUACAGAGGGUGCGAGCGUUAAUCGGAUUUACUGGGCGUAAAGCGUGCGUAGGCGGCUAAUUGAGUCGGAUGUGAAAUCCCCGAGCUUAACUUGGGAAUUGCAUUCGAUACUGGUUAGCUAGAGUGUGGGAGAGGAUGGUAGAAUUCCAGGUGUAGCGGUGAAAUGCGUAGAGAUCUGGAGGAAUACCGAUGGCGAAGGCAGCCAUCUGGCCUAACACUGACGCUGAGGUACGAAAGCAUUGGGAGCAAACAGGAUUAGAUACCCCCGUAGUCCCUGUCUCUUAUAC
rnacentral:rRNA from 1 species